rnacentral:misc_RNA from 1 species
GAUGAAGAACGUAGCGAAAUGCGAUAAGUAAUGUGAAUUGCAGAAUUCAGUGAAUCAUCGAAUCUUUGAACGCACAUUGCGCCCGCCAGUACUCUGGCGGGCAUGCCUGUUCGAGCGUCAUUUCAACCCUCAUGCCCCUAGGGCGUGGUGUUGGGGAUCGGCCAAAGCCCGCGAGGGACGGCCGGCCCCUAAAUCUAGUGGCGGACCCGUCGUGGCCUCCUCUGCGAAGUAGUGAUAUUCCGCAUCGGAGAGCGACGAGCCCCUGCCGUUAAACCCCCAACUUUCCAAGGUUGACCUCAGAUCAGGUAGGAAUACCCGCUGAACUUAAGCAUAUCAAUAAGCGGAGGA